rnacentral:rRNA from 1 species
UACGAGAGGUGCAAGCGUUAUUCGGAAUUAUUGGGCGUAAAGGGCGCGUAGGCGGGUCAUUAAGUUUGUUGUUAAAUCCUCUGGCUUAACCAGAGACAAGCAAUAAAAACUGGUAACCUAGAGCGUGAGAGAGAGAAGUGGAAUUCCCGGAGUAGCGGUAAAAUGCGUAGAUCUCGGGAGGAACACCAAUGGCGAAGGCUGCUUCUUGGCUCAUUGCUGACGCUGAGGCGCGAAAGCAUGGGGAGCGAACAGG